rnacentral:rRNA from 1 species
GCAGUCGAACGGGCUCUUCGGAGCCAGUGGCGCACGGGUGAGUAACACGUAACUGACCUACCCCCAAGUCGCGGAUAACUGGCCGAAAGGUCAGCUAAUACGUGAUGUGAUGCCCCUUUUCUGGAGGGUCAUUAAAGGUUUACUGCUUGGGGAUGGGGUUGCGUUCCAUCAGCUAGUUGGCGGGGUAAAGGCCCACCAAGGCAACGACGGAUAGCCGGCCUGAGAGGGUGGCCGGCCACAGGGGCACUGAGACACGGGUCCCACUCCUACGGGAGGCAGCAGUUAGGAAUCUUCCACAAUGGGCGAAAGCCUGAUGGAGCGACGCCGCGUGAGGGAUGAAGGUUCUCGGAUCGUAAACCUCUGAAUCAGGGACGAAAGACGCGUAAGCGGGAUGACGGUACCUGAGUAAUAGCACCGGCUAACUCCGUGCCAGCAGCCGCGGUAAUACGGAGGGUGCAAGCGUUACCCGGAAUCACUGGGCGUAAAGGGCGUGUAGGCGGUUAUUUAAGUCUGGUUUUAAAGACCGGGGCUCAACCCCGGGAGUGGACUGGAUACUGGAUGACUUGACCUCUGGAGAGGGAACUGGAAUUC